rnacentral:tRNA from 1 species
GUCAGGGUGGCGGAGUGGUCUAACGCGGUGGCUUGCUAAGCCAUUGAGGGUAUUACGCUCUCACCCGGGUUCAAAUCCCGGCCCUGGCG